GACGAACGCUGGCGGCGUGCCUAAUACAUGCAAGUGGGACGCAAGGAAACACACUGUGCUUGCACACCGUGUUUUCUUGAGUCGCGAACGGGUGAGUAACGCGUAGGUAACCUGCCUAUUAGCGGGGGAUAACUAUUGGAAACGAUAGCUAAUACCGCAUAAUAUUCAUUAUUCCAUGAUAAUUGAUUGAAUGAUGCAAGCGCAUAACUAGUAGAUGGACCUGCGGUGUAUUAGCUAAUUGGUAAGGUAAGAGCUUACCAAGGCGACGAUACAUAGCCGACCCUAGAGGGUGAUCCGCCACACUGGGACUGGGACACGGCCCAGACUCCUACGGGAGGCAGCAGUAGGGAAUCUUCGGCAAUGGACGAAAGUCUGACCGAGCAACGCCGCGUGAGUGAAGAAGGUUUUCGGAUCGUAAAGCUCUGUUGUAAGUCAAGAACGUGUGUGAGAGUGGAAAGUUCACACAGUGACGGUAGCUUACCAGAAAGGGACGGCUAACUACGUG
rnacentral:rRNA from 1 species